UUGACGAGAAAACAGGGCAAGGAAGGAGUUGGAGACUUCAGAUGAAUUGGAAAACCAAUCAACAUCAAGGUGAAGAAAGGCGUGAAUGAGGAUGGUUUGUUGUGGACUGAAAUGGGUCUAAUUUGAUCUCAAAUGAUUUGAGAUGCAGUCAAUUGAAUGAAGGCUUGAGUAGUUGAAUUGACGGUGUAUGAACCUGAUUGCAGCAGCGGUUAUUCUUUAAGUAACUACAAUGGGUAUGGCAGGUCCGUUGCAGGCAGCAUUUUUGUACAGGAAAGAGCAGCAUCAAUGGCAGCUGUUGGUACUGAAUUUAAGGGAUUUCUGGUGGUUGUUUUUGAGAGAUUGAGAAUGGAUACUAGAUGAUGCUUCUAAUGCAAUUAAUUGCUCGAAUGAAUGGCAUGAAGUUUUAUUGUUUUAGGGUCCUGGUAUGCUUGGGAAAUUCGUGGUCUUGUGAAUUCGAAAUUGCAGGUGUAACUAAGAUAUUAGAGGAGCUUCAUACAACCAGCUGGAGGCUACCUCUGUACGUACUGAAGUUGCACUGCAUUUGCUCGCAGAAUUGCCUGAAAGAAGAAUUUACAAUGGGCCAGAAAUAGAAAGUGGUGAUGUGGUGCUCACUGGUUGAAUUCGAUGGAGGCCAUUAGCUGACGCAGUAGAUGAUGGAGGAGUUGUGUUAACUGAACUAGUUCCGUUGUGUAUGCGGUGUUGGUUCGAAUGAAGAUGGAUUUGUCCUGAAAUGAUCUUGAUGCGAUCGUGGUUAAUGGAAAUGGCUACAACAAUGCGGUUAUUUGGAGAGAUUUGUGGCUGUUGAUGCGAACGGAGAAGAAAGCUUGUUUACUAUGAUGGAGCUGCACUAUGGAGUCGUUGUUGCUUACUCGACUGUACGUACAACAAUGAUAUUUAGGAGUUCGAUUCACUGAAGCAUAUGGACUGAAUAAGAAGAACUGAUGGGGGAAACAAUGGAAUUACGAUGGUCGUGAAUUAUGGCCGACAGUGCAGCUGGAGUUCGUACCUUGUGUGUCGAUGAAGCAAACAAAAGAGCUGCUAUUGCCCGCUGAAUGGAGAGUUGGACGUGACUGAGAAGGUGGCAGUAGCGAGAAUGGAGAUGGCAUCGAACUGCCGAUACUCUAAUGGCAGAUGGCUGCAGAAGAAGAAAUCGGUGUUGAUGAACGAGAACAAAGGGAGUUGGUUUAUCUGUUUUGAGCUUGGCAGUAAGGAUGCAGGAUUGGCUAGACAACAUUUGAGGAACAGAGGGUUUAUAUGAAAGUUCUCGUUGGAGAAAUAGUCACAGCAACAGGGGAUGAAGAAACGGAGACCUGGCCGGACGAUGAAGGAAAUUCGAUGGAGUGUUGCGUAGUUGAUGGAUAUCAGUCGAUGGCAGGCAAGUAAUUGCCGUGUACACAGCCAAGUUGGUGGCGCUGUUAACAUGGUGAAGUUGGAGGUUAAGAAGAGAUUUUGAUUCCAGGGACGUUUAAAAAGAAAUGGAAGUUUUUGCUAUAUUUGAUUUGGGUUUGGCAGAGACUACACAUGGAGCUGUUGCCGGUGAAUUAUAACUGGAGUUGAGAGAAGAUCGGAGUUGUACUGCUGGUGAUGAUGGCGAUAGUUUGGAUUAUUGAUGCUGUAGCCGGACUUGGAUUAUUGAUGUGUUGGUCGGAUGAUAUGCUGGUUUGUUGCGGGCUGAAUAUGGAAAGUGGUGUCGAGGCCAGAGUUCAGGAAAUCAGUGCGAUAUUGGACUGGGCCUAAGCAUUUUACUAUGUCUUAGUCAGAUUUGUUUGCAAGACUAUAAGAAGAAAAGGAACACAGAGAAGAAGAGGGAGACCGGUUUUGGAGGCCGGCCACAGAGCCGAAGGGGAAAAGAACGGUGUCGCGGCCGUGAACUGAGAAGAGGCGACGACGGUGAACUGCUCAUAAGGAGGGGAGGAAGACUGGUUUUAUCGUGGUGACGGCAAGAUUAUUAUUGGUUUAUCUUUCUUAUCUCUUGAUUAUUAUUUUUAUGGGUUUUGAGAAAUCCAUUUUAAUGUAUUGCUAGAUUUCUUUGUAACUAGGGUUUAUUAUUGAAACCACUUUGGGUAUUAGGAAACUCUAAAUUGAAUGAUUUUGCAAUAGACCAUUAUGAUUUGAGUA